CCUGGAUACUAUUUUGGGAACAAGGGAAUCAUUGAUUAGACAGUUGACCCCUCAGAAAAGAUUGACGGCCAUGUCCGAGAACUCACUGAGAAUACAAGAGGCAGCGAGACUAACUAGCUUGAACUGUAAAAGCGCCUAUGAAGAGAAAACUUUGACAGAACUUCAAGGGGAGUUGAAGAUUCUUACUGAGGCUUUCUUACAGGUUGCUGAGAACCACAACAUUCUGCCCUUCUCAGGAAUCCUUAAAUUUGCCAGAUCAGAACUCCUCCAAAGACAACUGCUGAUCAAAAUUAGGGUGAUAUCCGGCCAUUUGAACAAAGCAAAUAAGGACUAUGUCAACCCGAUUAAAAACAUCUUAAACAUCGCUUACACCGCUGCUGAGCAUCAUGAAGAUGACAAGAUGUCUGAGGAGGCCCAAGAAAGAUUUGACACAGCUGCAGAAUUGUUCAUCAAGAAUGUCAGAGCUGCAACGAAGAGUGUUGAAGACUGUUUUAAUUACAUUCGCCAGCCUCAUGUUCGAGUUGCCCUGAGAUCCAUCAACGAUCAUUUGUCUUUCCAGAUCUCAGAUAUAGUGAGCCGAGCCAGACUCUUAACAGAGCGCCAUUGUAUCGACGACACUCUCAGCCUGGAGAUACGGAUUCAAUGCUGGUCUGCUAAGGCUCGCUAUGUAACUGAGGAGCUCUAUAAGGUGGAUGAGCUAAUCCAGGAGGCUAAGGAAAAAGUCAAGGCUGGUCUGCAGGGUGGAAGAUCAGGGGAUUCCAAAAAGUGGAUGACUGGGACAAGUCUUUGUACUACCAUGAAGAGGGUUGAUUACCAACCAGAGAUUGCACCCUGGCAGCUAAUCAAUACAGAGAAUUUUAAUGUCUCAGGACAGGCCAGUAUAAGUGGUGAAAAUCCCCAACAUGAAUCGGUGAUGGCAACUCAACAAUGUGAGGCCUCAAAGUCUGCUGUCUGCGGGGACACCCCAUUCCUGACAAACUCCACCGGGUCCCUCAUGUACACCACAACCACUCCUUCUCUUACCUAUACCUCCCUGUUCCUCAAACAAGAGACAGACCAGUGGGAUGCUCAGGGCAACCGUAUCGUCCAGGUAACCAGGGAGAUGGCGGACCAGAUCUACCACAUGGCCCAGUACCUGAGGAGGAAAGGACCAAUACUGGUGAUGAAGAUCAAUCAACCAAUACAUCUACUUAUUGUUUCAACUGGAAAGAAUUUAGUGCAGUCUGGUUAAAUUGGGAUAAAUUCAGCCUCUGUCUUGGAAUGCUUACAUUUUUUAUAUUUACCAUCACAGAUUAAGCCAUUUUGAAAUAUAUAUUACAGAACAAAGAGAUGUUUGUCGGCACAGCAAAGGGUGUGGUCUCAAACUGCCAGUCCAUCACCAACUUUCUGAAGGUCAUAGUAAACCACUGUUUGGACCAACAGUGUUCCGCUGAGCUGUCUUUAAGAGUGGAACAGAUUCUCACUAUCACUAAUCAACUCACUAUCAUCUCCAGUGUUAACGCACUGACGGCUGGAAGCAAGUCUUCAGAUGAGAUUCUUGUGAAGAACGCCCAGAACCUACUUAAGGUUGUUCUGCAGGGGGUCAGAUCAGCAGAGACGGCCUGUAUUAAGGGUCUAAAACAACCAGAACCAAACUCAGACGGAGUGGAGGCCGCAUCAAUGUGUUUCCAGUGGAAGAGGAACCUUCAGAUGCACCGAGCCCAGCAGAACUCUAACCCAGACACUGAUGAUCUGGGUUUGAGGAAAACCUCCCUGCACCGAGAAUCCCCAAGCCUGGCCCCUCCUGUAGACAUAAAGGACCAAGGAUUCAAGUGACCCUAACACACACCCCAGACUAGUCACUUGGAAAUGGUGCAAGAAAAUAUAUGACACCGAAACCAUGUACAUUUCUAAGUGACUUAGGAACUGAAAUGUCGGGCUCCCAAAUUGUUUUAAUAUGCUUUGCAGGGUGACCCAGGAUCUUAUCCUGGUUGCUAGCCCUAUUCCAACCCAAAAAGGGCGGUGCAGAUUGGCUUAGCAUAUUCCAUGUUGGGGGGGAGAAGAUCAGAAAGAUAAUUGUUUUGCUGUGCUUUUACUAACGAGGAUGUCAAUAUUACUAAUAUACUGUAUACCUAAUUUUAUCCCAAAAUGCA